CCACAGCAUACUAUAACAACCAGUAGGUUAUCUCGAUGCUCCACGCGCCGAAAUUUCGUUGACCUCCAACGCGUUUCAUCCGAAAUAUUUCACCCGUCGGCUCUUGCCUAUGAUCAGUGACGUCGUUAGCAGGGGAGAGAUGCGUUUGACGUCUUUUAUUUUUGUGUAUGUUAUUUGUUGCGAGAAACAUUUAUAUUUCAUUGCGUGAGUUUUAUAAUUUUGUUUUUGUAUUCUUAUUGAAAAUGGAAAGACGUAACAAAUUUAAAGGGAGAACUGUUUGUGCCGUACGAGAAUGUAAAAAUAAAUCGUACAAAUUAAUGAAAAGUUUCACAAAUUUCCUAGAGAUAUAGAGAGGGCCAAAGUGUGGCUUGAAGCUAGCAGCAGAUUAGAUUUAAUGCCCAAAGUUGAUGUUUUACACAGACUCAGUUAUUGUAUAUGUAGUGCACAUUUUGAGCCCGAUAUGGUCAUGCAGAAUCAUAAACGGAAACUUCUUAAUAAGUCGGCAAUUCCUACAAUUUUUAAACAGACAUCAGUUUCCAAAGGAUCCUCAUCUAUCAGCUUUGCAACAACCUCAUCAGAAAUGCAAUGUGAGUUUGUUCAGUUGGAAGAAAGCAGUUUGAAAUUAAAAGGUAUUUGUUAAAACAUUUCUUAUAAUGUAUUAGUAUAAAAUCGGGCAAUUAUUUUAGUUGUCUUUUUUAUAGGUUAAAAAAAACAAUUUUUUAAUCCUGUUUGACAUGGUGAUAUUUUGGCGAAAAUAUUUUCACAGUUUUCGAAUAUAAUAUGCAGUUAUAGUGUAAGAUGUUUUUUUUUAAGCCCCGAAUAAAAGUUUUCGCCAUGCGCAUGUAAA